CAGAGGCAGGCAAAGUUUCAGACUGAACACAAACAUAAAGCCAAGGGCAGAGGCAGGCAAAGCUUUAGAUCAAACACAAACAUAAAGCCAUUGGCAGAGGCAGACAAAGUUUCAGACCAAACACAAACAUAAAGCCAUUAGUUUCAGACCAAACACAAGCAUAAAGCCAAGGGCAGAGGCAGGCAAAGCCUUAGACCAAACACAGACAUAAAGCCAAGGACAGAGGCAGGCAAAGCCUUAGACCAAACACAGACAUAAAGCCAAGGGCAGAGGCAGGCAAAGUUUCAGACCAAACACAGACAUAAAGCCAAGGACAGAGGCAGGCAAAGCCUUAGACCAAACACAGACAUAAAGCCAAGGGCAGAGGCAGGCAAAGUUUCAGACCAAACACAGACAUAAAGCCAAGGGCAGAUGCAGGCAACGUUUUAGACCACACACAGACAUAAAGCCAAGGGCAGAGGCAGGCAAAGUUUCAGACCAAACACAGACAUAAAGCCAAGGGCAGAGGCAGGCAAAGUUUCAGACCAAAUACAGACAUAAUGCCAAGGGCAGAGGCAGGCAAAGCCUUAGACCAAACACAAACAUAAAGCCAAGGGUAAAGGCAGGCAAAGUUUUAGUAAAUGAAAUGACACUUGUUAAUAGUUGAAGGCUUGUAUUAUGUGGAAAGCUGUAGAAAAAAUGUCUGAGGUCCUGCAGUCGAACGACAUCAGACCCACAAGGUCCAGCCACGAUGACAGCAUCAGACCCACAAGGUCCAGCCACAAUGACAGCAUCAGACCCACAAGGUCCAGCCACAAUGACAGCAUCAGACCCACAAGGUCCAGCCACGAUGACAGCAUCUGACUUACAAGGUCCUGCCAUUAGGAUGGCAUCAGCCUGACAAGGUCCUGAUGGGAGGACAGCAUUAGCCUGACAAGGGAAAUAUCAGAACUACAACAUAGUUUAAAGAUAAUACAACAUGGAAAGAGUCUGCAAGAGUUUCGUGCCGUGUCUCUGAAACCAUUAACAUAAUGGUCUUUGAUAACUUGUGUAAAACGCAACAGUGCAAGAUGACAAGCAAGUUACAUCGAAUUUACAAGCAACAGAGCAGGCAAAUUGCAUCAAAUUUACCAGCAACUGGUAAAGUAUGGAAGUAACAUUGAAUUUACCAGCAACAAAAUAGGCAAGUUCUAUUGAAUUUAGUAGCAACAAAGGCAAGUUACAUUGAUUUUACCAGCAACAGACCAGUCAGAAACAAGCUCAGGAAUAUUCUGACAAAUUAAGGGAAAAGUGACAAAUAAGGGUAAAGUGUCAGCAAAAUUUAAGAAAAAGGGAUGUGUUUCAAAUUGUUUUUGUCUUCCUUGAUAAAACAAUUUUAAUAGAUAGUGUUAAAGUCAUACAGUUCUUCAGGAUAUUGAGGAUUUUAAGGUAUAGCUAUGAAA